GAUGAAGAACGCAGCGAAAUGCGAUAAGUAAUGUGAAUUGCAGAAUUCAGUGAAUCAUCGAAUCUUUGAACGCACAUUGCGCCCCCUGGUAUUCCGGGGGGCAUGCCUGUUCGAGCGUCAUUUCACCACUCAAGCCUCGCUUGGUAUUGGGCAUCGCGGUCCGCCGCGCGCCUCAAAUCGACCGGCUGGGUCUUCUGUCCCCUAAGCGUUGUGGAAACUAUUCGCUAAAGGGUGUUCGGGAGGCUACGCCGUAAAACAACCCCAUUCCUAAGGUUGACCUCGGAUCAGGUAGGGAUACCCGCUGAACUUAAGCAUAUCAAUAAGCGGAGA
rnacentral:misc_RNA from 1 species